rnacentral:rRNA from 1 species
GAUGAACGCUAGCGGGAGGCUUAACACAUGCAAGUCGAGGGGCAGCAUAGGGUAGCAAUACUCUGAUGGCGACCGGCAAACGGGUGAGUAACGCGUAUGUAACCUACCCUGUACAGGGGGAUAACCCGGAGAAAUUCGGACUAAUAUCCCAUAACAAUAUCCGGGGGCAUCUUUGGAUAUUUAAAGUUCCGGCGGUACGGGAUGGGCAUGCGUAACAUUAGCUAGUUGGUAAGGUAACGGCUUACCAAGGCUUUGAUGUUUAGGGGUCCUGAGAGGGUGGUCCCCCACACUGGUACUGAGACACGGACCAGACUCCUACGGGAGGCAGCAGUGAGGAAUAUUGGUCAAUGGGCGCAAGCCUGAACCAGCCAUCCCGCGUGCAGGAAGACGGCGCUAUGCGUUGUAAACUGCUUUUCCAGGGAGAGAAACUUGCGCACGUGUUGCGCAAUUGACGGUACCCUGGGAAUAAGCAUCGGCUAACUCCGUGCCAGCAGCCGCGGUAAUACGUCUA